UCCACCGCCAUCAGCGCUCGCCUGAGGCCGGAGGGGACCUUUUCGUGGCUGCCGGUAUCCUGUCCUCCACGCAGGACACGCACCCGCCGCAGCCCCCGCCGCCACCGGAUCUCUCGCCAAGGACAGGCUGGUGCAGGAGGCCACUCCCAGAUCCCGUCAUCCGCCGCCAUUAACGCCCUCCUGCUAGAUCCCGUCAUUCGCUGCGAAUCUCCAUUCAGCUCCCCCUCGCGCUUUCAUCGUCGCCGUGGACCGCUCGCUGGCGCUGACCUCUCCCAAGCGCGGCACAGUGGUGCGGGUGCCGUACAAGGUCUCGAUCCCGCUGGGCAGGGUGAAGACGACCACGCCGGGUGGGAACAAGGACCGGCCGGAGCAGAAGUACGUGCAGGCUUCGAGUUCUGGUUCAUGGGCUUCGUCAGGUACCAGGUGUCCCUGCACGAACUGGAGAAGGCCAUCGAGCAGGCGAACGUUCGGGGCCAGAUCCACCGACUCCCGUUUGACGGCCUCGCGUUGUGCUUUUGUGUGGCUAUUCGUUCACUGGAGAAGGCCAUUGAACUAUUGAGUAAGAGGAAAGUUCAGGGGAGAAUUCUUUUGUGUGGCUAUUCGUUCAAUUACAUUUCUGGGACAGCAUCAAUAAAGAAAGUAUCUCACACGACCAGGAAUCUUGGAGCAGUUGGCUUUGUUGUUGCUGUGGAGAAUAUUUACCCAGGAAUAAAAUUUGACCCUGUACCAGUCAGCAUCCCUAGAAUUCUCAUCACAGAUGUCAGCAAAACGGAGGAUCUUAUAGACUACUACAAUUCUUCCACCAUAAUAGAUUGGGCUGGAAGGGCUACAACCUUCAAAGCAACAGCAGACAUACUUGCUCCUGGCAAUCUCAUAUGGGCUGCAUGGGCGCCUAAUGGAACAGAUGAAUCAAACUAUGCUGGUGAAGGAUUUGCAAUGGUUUCUGGAACUAGCAUGGCCACACCGCAUUUCGCUGGCAUUGCAGCACUAAUAAAGCAGAAGAACCCAAAGUGGAGCCCCUCAGCAAUAAAAUCUGCCAUGAUGACAACAACCAAUACACUGGACAAAGGGAGUCGUCCUCUCAGAGCGCAGCAGUACACAACAUCGGAAAUGAUGACACUUUCUCAGGCCACACCGUUUGAUUGUGGUAGUGGCGCUGUUAACCCAAAAGCUGCCCUUUAACAGUUAUAAUUACCCAGAGAUUAGUGAUGCUAAGAAGAGUCCUGGGUGACAAUUUUUGUUCCAGCAUUUUGAAAAAUACUCAAAGAAUUUUUUAUUAAUAAUUUGACUAAAAUUCAUAAGGUG